rnacentral:lncRNA from 1 species
AUACUGAAAGUUAACUGCUGUAGUAUAGGUAUAAUAAUAACAUAAUGGUAUAUUUACUCAGCCAUGAAGAUGGAGAGGACAACGAAGAGCAGGUGAAAGAGAAUGACAAAGCAGGUGAAGAGAACAGUGCAGGGAAAGAUGGAGAGCCACAUCUUCAGGAUGACAUCAGAAGAGAGGAGUUAGAUGGAGAAUGCAGAGAUGCAACAGAGGAGGAAGCGGAGGAAAGACCUUACCCAGAGGACCCAUCGGACUGGCCUUCACCCCAUCAAAUUACUGACACUUUUAGGCAAAACAUGACUGAGAGAGGGCCUUUGAAAUGUCCUGAUGGGCCAUAUCCUAGAUCCGAGGUGAGUAACAGGCGAUUUUCAAAGGCCUACUGUUAUUGCUUAUUAUCAAAUGGGGAGAGAAUUGAG